GGGAAGCAUUAGAAAAAGAAAAUAAACAAAGACUUGAUAACAAGUAGAAUCUUACCCAAUCAUGGCAUGAAACCACAAAAUGAUCAGCACCUUUGCUUCGGUUCCAAUAUGGAUACCUGUCGGCAACAACUUGAAUGUAAUCAUUUGUGACACGGCGCAUCCGAUCACGGCUGUAGUCAGUGGGAGAAGUGAUUGGCCUGUAAACGAAAUGAAUGAUGUUGGUGAUGCUCAAAGGAAGAAGAAAUACAUGGGCUUGAUCAGGAUGGCUGGCUCUGAAGGGGCUCUUGCUGCAAUCUAUCUCAUCUAUAAAUUGGCCUUCAAUGGCGUAUAUGCUAUUCAAU
rnacentral:misc_RNA from 1 species